rnacentral:snoRNA from 1 species
AACCUCCAGAUCUCUUACCCCGGAGAUCUAAGUAUUGUUCUGAGUAGCUGAAAAAGGAGGAAAAAAUAAACCUGAUGUGGACUGGGAGUCUUCAGGCACAUUCAGUGCAUUUCAAACAAAC